CCGUAAUAAAGUCUAAUAACCGUGACGUUAAUGAGCAUUUAUGCAAACCUCUACUAACCAUGGCCUUCUGGUAGUCAUAAUUCAUGAGUAAUUUAAAUUCUGUCAAAUAAGUCAAACACUAUUGAACAAGUUUGCGAUUUACCACUAUGAUUCGACAGUGUAAUGUGGUAUCAGGACCCCCAAAAACUCGCCUUUCCUUUAAACAAAAACUCUCCUAUGGAUUAUUCCAAGUCUUUGUUUAUCUAUCGCUGCCAUUUGCGACAGUGUAUUUUACGCCAUACAUGAGAAACAAACGUGGAGAACAACGAAUUAAUAUUUAAUUUGUGAAUUGUAAUGUUACGUUAUCAAUGUCAAUAAAAUAUCAUAUAUAAAUUUA
rnacentral:lncRNA from 1 species